rnacentral:lncRNA from 1 species
AACGAGCUUACUCGAGCAAAGACCAAAAACGGCAACAAAUGCGGAGCCAAAACGCGAACGAGACUUCGAACCGGAACUGGAGCUUCGCUCAAAACAUCUACCCAAUAUUGACUGUUCGGAGGUGAUUUUGAGGCUAUAUAAAUGGAAAUUCAUGGGCUGUUUUUGGGUGAUUUUCAUGGGUGAUGGGGGGCUUGAUUUUAAGGCUGUUUUUAGGGACGAAAAUGGUUGAUUUUCAUGGAGAUUUGAAGGUCACUUUACUGCUGCAUUUUGGGGACUGAUUUCAAGUUAUUUGUGGGGGUUUUGAGAGUGGUUUAAUGGAGGAUGGUGACUUGUUUGUAGCUGGUUUUGCAGCUGACUUAUGGUGUUAAUACAACUAGUUUUGGGCUUGAUUUCAGGUGUAUAAGUGUGCUAUUUCCAUGGAGUUUAGGUGGUGUACAAGUGAUGGUUAUGGCUGCCGUGAACUUGGCG